AUGAAUGUGCAUGGAAGGGCUAGAUCAUUUCAAAUGCAUGACCUUGUGCGUGACGCAUGUCUGAUUGUUGCAAAAAGAGAGAAGCUUGCAGUUGUAUAUGGCAAUUCUGGCAUCACCCAAGUAACCUCUGAAGCCCGCCGCUUAUGCAUCCAGAAAGAUGCUCAGUUUGUAAAGACUGUUCCGGGUCCUGUGACUCCUGUCUCUAAGGUUAAGCAUAUACCAGCAUCGUUCGGGAAACUUCGGAACCUACAGGUUCUGGACCGUAGGUUCAGCUACGUGGAACAGCUGCCAUGUGAAAUAACACUCCUUACUAAAUUGAGGCAUCUGUAUGUAUACAUGCUCCACGAUGUUCAAGAAAGGAUAUUCGACUGUUUUUCUGCUGCAAAUAUUUCGUGCAAUAUUUGUCGUCUAGAGGAUCUGCAGAGCCUACAGUCUGUUUCAGCCAAUAAAAUUCUGCUUACCCAGCUUGGGAACCUGACACUGAUGAGAAGUUUGUGCAUAAUAAAAAUGCAUCAAGACUAUAUUGCAGAUUUAUGGGACUCCUUGGACAAGAUGCCUAGCCUCAGUAGGUUGGUUAUUUUUGCUAGCAGCAAGGAUGAGGUCCUACAUACUUUGGAAUUUGCUGGUCUAAGGGGUCUAAAGCUAGUGCCCCAAGGCAUCAAGCACAUUAAGACACUACAGAAGAUGCUUCUAACAAAUAUGCCAACAAAGUUCAUGGAUAGGAUACAAGGAGAUGACAGUGACAUAGUUGAGCAUAUACCGAACAUCCAGAGUUUUGACUCCUUCGAUCCGAAUGAACAAGUCGGUUCUUCUGCCACACCUUGCAAAGAAGUAUGGCUUUUGUGGCACAGACUGCUGGGAGCUUUAGAGUGGUUGGAGAUGGGCGGGGAACUAGAUUCUGAGAGAAUAGUCGGCAUGGUGGUCAAGCUCUAUCUUCCAGAUUCAGUGCCCUCAGUCUUGUUGUCCCUAUGGAGGCGCCGUGAUGACGGCUGCUUUUGUUCCAUACGGAUUGAUAAUCCUGUUGCUGUUUCUAAUUUGAUCAGGCCAUCUGAUGACCGCGUGGUCAAUUUUGCAGAUAAAGGAGCCAAAUCAAAAAUGCUCUCAACUGGGGAGCCAAAUUGCUGCAAAGGCAUGGCGCACCACUGCAAGAAGACUGGUGAUCCUGUGAAGAUGGUGAUUGGUACCCGAGCUUUUCAGGUACAUAGUGCUGUUGCGCUGAUCCUUAUGAAGAUGGUGAUCUGA
rnacentral:rRNA from 1 species